rnacentral:rRNA from 1 species
CACGUAGGUGGUUUGCUAAGUCAGAUGUGAAAUCCCUGGGCUUAACCUGGGAAUUGCAUUUGAUACUGUCAGACUAGAGUGUGGUAGAGGUAAGCGGAAUUCCCGGUGUAGCGGUGAAAUGCGUAGAUAUCGGGAAGAACAUCAGUGGCGAAGGCGGCUUACUGGAUCAACACUGACACUGAGGUGCGAAAGCGUGGGUAGCAAACA